UUGUCACCUUUCCUUGGUUAUCAGAAUCAUACCUGGUUUUGAAGAGGUAUACUUCAUAAACGAUCAUCUCCAAACUGAAGGUUUAACAAGAAAAAAUAUGUCAGAUGUCAGUGGGUGGCAAACAUUUUUACAAGCCCUUGACUACUUCCUCAAAAUGUUCUUUGGCUCUGCAGCGCUCGGCACUCUCACUGGCUUAAUUUCUGCAUUAAUAUCCUUUUAAUGUGAUGAACAUGCAGGGUUAAAAUUAUUCCUGAUAACUUCUGUCUCUAGCCAGUUUCUCCUGUUUUUUAAGGGGGCCAAUUUUAGAUGAAGAUUUUGCUUAAAGGAGGAUUUUUUUGCUUAGUUUUUGUUUGAGAAACACUCUAACUCAAGGAUUUUUUAAUCUAACGUGAAAUUUAGGAUGUCACUUUUCAAAGUUUAAAAAACAUGUACACUGUUGGAUAUCAGAUGUGAUUUUGGGGACCUCUCAGUUCCCAGAGUAUGAUAACCACACUCCGAUGAUUUUCGUUUUCUGCCAUCUUACUUUUCACAUUUGGAAAACUGGAAAUUAAUUUUCUUUGAAAAUGUCAAAUAGACCAGGUGCAGUGGCUCAUGCCUGUAAUCCCAGCACUUUGAGAGGCUAAGGCCAGAGGAUUGCUUUCGCCCAGGAGUUCAAGACCAGCCUUAGCAAUGGAAUAUAGUGAGACCUCAUCUCUAAAAAAUACAUAAAUAAAAAUAAAAUGCCAAAUAGAGAAAAUUUUUAUCCCACUGAAAGUGUUUAUCCAGAAGGAUUGCAAAAGGGGCUUUCAAAGUGUGUUCCAUUGAGUUAUUUGCACUGAUUUUGUUGUUUGACAACCAAUAAGCUUUUCCAGCUGGAGAUGGAAAGAGGCUUGUUAAGGCCAAUGUCACCUUUAUUGCUGUAGAAAUUUCAUUAUGUUUAAAAUAGUAACAGGCAGUAGACCACUUCGGUGCGCACCUAAGCCUACGUCUCAGGGAGAUGGCCACCUGGCCCGCCUCCACGAGCAGUUUGUGUCACAGAUGGCCGGAAGAGACUCUUUUGCCUGGUUACAGGCAUGUUUUUCUGCCAUCCUGUUGAAUUUUCCCAUCAACUCCUUUGUCCAGAAGUCUAAGGGCUCUAUUGAGUUGGCUGACAGCUUCUCAUAUUGUACCAAUAAACAGAAUGGAAAAGAAAAUUUUUUCCAGUUCAGUAUUUUCCUCUAUAUUUAUCUUUUUCUUUAAAAAAAAAAAGUAUCUAUCAAAAUGAAGUGGAGCAAAUGGGUACUGUGAGCUCCAGUAUAGGCAUUGUGAAUGAUGUUUCAAUAUAUAGAAGGCUCUCUCCUUUCACAGGGGCAUGA
rnacentral:lncRNA from 10 species